rnacentral:rRNA from 1 species
AGUGAACGCUGGCGGUAGGCCUAACACAUGCAAGUCGAACGGCAGCACAGUAAGAGCUUGCUCUUACGGGUGGCGAGUGGCGGACGGGUGAGGAAUACAUCGGAAUCUACUUUUUCGUGGGGGAUAACGUAGGGAAACUUACGCUAAUACCGCAUACGACCUACGGGUGAAAGCAGGGGAUCUUCGGACCUUGCGCGAUUGAAUGAGCCGAUGUCGGAUUAGCUAGUUGGCGGGGUAAAGGCCCACCAAGGCGACGAUCCGUAGCUGGUCUGAGAGGAUGAUCAGCCACACUGGAACUGAGACACGGUCCAGACUCCUACGGGAGGCAGCAGUGGGGAAUCUUGGACAAUGGGCGCAAGCCUGAUCCAGCCAUACCGCGUGGGUGAAGAAGGCCUUCGGGUUGUAAAGCCCUUUUGUUGGGAAAGAAAAGCAGCAGGUUAAUACCCCGCUGUUCUGACGGUACCCAAAGAAUAAGCACCGGCUAACUUCGU